CCUACGGGAGGCAGCAGUGGGGAAUUGUUCGCAAUGGGCGCAAGCCUGACGACGCAACGCCGCGUGGAGGAUGAAGAAUUUCGGUUCGUAAACUCCUUUCGAUCGAGAUGAACACCUCGCGACCUAACACGUCGCAGGGCUGACAGUAUCGAGAGAAGAAGCCCCGGCUAACUCUGUGCCAGCAGCCGCGGUAAUACAGGGGGGGCAAGCGUUGUUCGGAAUUACUGGGCGUAAAGGGUUCGUAGGUGGCCACUUAAGUCAGACGUGAAAUCCCUCGGCUCAACCGGGGAAUUGCGUCUGAAACUGGGUGGCUUGAGUGCAGGAGAGGAACGCGGAAUUCCAGGUGUAGCGGUGAAAUGCGUAGAUAUCUGGAGGAACACCGGUGGCGAAGGCGGCGUUCUGGACUGCAACUGACACUGAGGAACGAAAGCCAGGGGAGC
rnacentral:rRNA from 1 species